UCUGGAACUGUCUCACUGUGAACUGUGUCAACCCCUGCAUGCCUGCUCGUCCAUGCUAGAUAACUAGAUCUCCUCUUCAUUUUCCGUCCACGACACCCCUUGUCAGACCAACGACCACUUUGCAGCAUGUACAUGAAGCCAGACAUGAAGCAAGUAACUGCGCGUCCUUAUCCGGCACGAGAAUGCGUGGAGGAAUUAGUUACAGCGCAAAUUGCUAUCAACACAAAAUGACUUGUUAAAUAGGGCAGAUAAUGACAUUCUUGCUGGCCGGCUAUGGCGAAAGCUUCUGCGAAGUACACGAGGAAGCUCCAUUUCUGAAGGUAGUCAGAGUGCUGCAAGCGAUGUGCUA
rnacentral:lncRNA from 1 species